GACGAACGCUGGCGGCGUGCUUAACACAUGCAAGUCGAACGAAGAGCGAUGGAUGCUUUCUUCUCUCAAUCUUAGUGGCGUACGGGUGAGUAACGCGUAAUCAACCUGCCCUUCAGAGGGGGACCACAGUUGGAAACGACUGCUGAUACCACAUACGAACCGACCUCGGCAUCGAGGAGGGAUUGAAGGUGGCGUCUAUUUAUAAGCAAUCACUGAAGGAGGGGAUUGGGUGUGAUUAGCUAGGUGGAGGGGUAACGGCCCAACAAGGUAAUGAGCAGUAGCCGGACUGAGAGGAUGAACGGCCGCAGUUGGAAGGAGACACGGCCCAGAAUCGUAAGGGAGGCAGCAGUGGGGAACCUUCCGCAAGGGACGAAAGGCUGACGGCGGAACGCCGCGUGAGUGAGGAGGGCCUUCGGGUUGUAAAGGUCGGUUAAUCGGGACGAAAGGUCUUCUUGCGAAUAGGAAGAAGAAUUGACGGUACCGGAAGAGAAAGCCACGGCUAACUACGUG
rnacentral:rRNA from 1 species